UACGUAGGUGGCGAGCGUUGUCCGGAAUAACUGGGCGUAAAGGGAGCGUAGGUGGCGAAAUAAGUUAGAUGUGAAAGCCCGAGGCUCAACUUCGGAAUAGCAUCUAAAACUGUUUGGCUAGAGUGCAGGAGGGGUAAAUGGAAUUUCUAGUGUAGCGGUGAAAUGCGUAGAUAUUAGGAAGAACACCAGAGGCGAAGGCGGUUUACUGGACUGCAACUGACACUGAGGCUCGAAAGCGUGGGGAGCAAACAGG
rnacentral:rRNA from 1 species